rnacentral:siRNA from 1 species
AGUCAAGCCAAGCAGAAAGUUGG